AAUUGUAUGUCCUGUCAUUUAUGCUAGCUUAACUUAGGUUCAGUACUACAUGAUUUAAAAUACAAAUCUUUUUUGUUUUGUUUUUGUAGCAAAUUGAUGCUCUGUUUAAUGUAUUUGAAGAGAGUCCACAAAAUAGGCGGGCCCCACCUCUUGUUAGAGUGGAAAAAAUGUUUGAAGAUAUACAAUCCAAACUUCCUAGGGCUCCUCAAUUUCUUCUCUGUCUGCUUCUAGAGAGGAAGAACUCUGAUCUAUAUGGUUUGUUUGAUUUGAUUUAUUCCUUUAUCACACUUUUUCUUUUCUUUUUUUUCUUUUUUUUACCAGCCACUACAACAAAUAGUACUUUUAAUAACAUAUUUUUAUUGUAGUUUUUAUUAAAAUGUUAUUAAUUAUGGAGCAUUUAUAGCAUUUUUGUGAUUAAAUGACUUGAGGUGCUAACUUUAGAUAUUUAUAGCAUUGAAUUGUAAUUUUUAAUAACCUUUUAUAAAUAUUGUGAAAAAUUACACAAAUUAAGGAUUAAUGACAUUUAAAAAAUGUUAUUGUUGGGAUAAUAUAUACAAAAAAAAAAAAAAAAAAAGAUAUAUUGAACCCAUAAAAAAAACAUUAUAUUGAAAAACUCAAAAAGUUUGGCGCGAAAAUAUCGCACACCUAGAUUAGAGAUAGAAACCUACUACAAGGCAGGUUCCUAAUUUCCCUCAUUAUGGACUAUGAGCAAUCACAAUGCUAGGGCUUCGAUACAAGUUGAAGGUAAUUCUCUCUCUAUCUAUAUCGCUCGAUUUAUAUACAUAUAAAUACAUCUAUAUACUUAUUAGUUUUGUUUUGAGAGGGAAUUGGUUUUUUUCUUGUUCAUGGUAGGGAAUUGGUUUUUUUUUUUUUUUUUUGUCCGACUUUGUUUUGAUUUAGAGAAAGUGAUGCAAAAGUGGGGGCAAGGACUAAGCCAGUAUAUUGGCCAUGAUUAGGCUCUAAUAAAUUUAAAUUAGUGAUCAUAUUUUAUAAUGGUGGAUCUCGAUAAUGUGCUAUAGCAAUCCAUGGUUAUUAAGGCAAGUUGGUGUCUUCAGAAAGAAAGGUACCAAACUAUAUGAAGCAAGCUUGAAGAAUGAGAAGCCUUUAGAUCAAUGGCUUCAUUUAGAUCAAUGGCUUCAUUGUUAAAUUAAGCAAGUGUUUUAGUAAAUAAAUUUAAUUUUCCCAUCAUCUUUACACCUUCAAAAUAUUCUGUAAAUGACAUUUGAUGUAGAAUUUUGUGUACAGAGGACAUCUUUUUUGUAUGAUUCUCUGUUUGUAUGGAAUUAUUAUUUUGGGUUGGAUUA